rnacentral:rRNA from 1 species
GAUGAACGCUAGCGGCAGGCCUAAUACAUGCAAGUCGAACGAUAUCUUCCAGCUUGCUGGAGGAGAAAGUGGCGCACGGGUGCGUAACGCGUAUGCAACCUACCUUUAUCAGGGGGAUAGCCCGGAGAAAUCCGGAUUAAUACCGCAUAACAUCAUUGGAUAGCAUUAUUUUAUGAUCAAACAUUUAUGGGAUAAAGAUGGGCAUGCGUGUCAUUAGCUAGUUGGCGGGGUAACGGCCCACCAAGGCGACGAUGACUAGGGGAUCUGAGAGGAUGGCCCCCCACACUAGUACUGAGACACGGACCAGACUCCUACGGGAGGCAGCAGUAAGGAAUAUUGGUCAAUGGAGGGAACUCUGAACCAGCCAUGCCGCGUGCAGGAAGACUGCCCUAUGGGUUGUAAACUGCUUUUAUCCGGGAAUAAACCUGAGUACGUGUACUUAGCUGAAUGUACCGGAAGAAUAAGGAUCGGCUAACUCCGUGCCAGCAGCCGCCGUAACAC